rnacentral:sRNA from 13 species
GCAAGCAGCAGCAGCGACGUUAGCAGCGACGCCAGCAGCAGCAGCGGCGCAGCGACUCCCAAAACCCGCCAAGCCAAUUUGUAGAGAAUAUGAACUGAUGAUGAACAAUUGAAAAUACUAAAAAACAGCCGCAGCUCCAGCGACUGGCACGAAAC